GCGGGAAUAGCUCAGCGGUAGAGCAUCAGCUUCCCAAGCUGAGGGUCGCGGGUUCAAGUCCCGUUUCCCGCU
rnacentral:tRNA from 1 species